GACGAACGCUGGCGGUGUGCUUAACACAUGCAAGUGGAGCGACGAACCAGAGCUUGCUCUGGGGCAGAGCCGCGAACGGGUGAGUAACACGUGGGUAACCUACCCCGAUUACUGGGACAACCCGAGGAAACUCGGGCUAAUACCGGAUGUGCUCGCAUCUCAUGAGAGUUGUGAGUAAAGGAAGCUUCGGCCUCCGAAUCGGGAGGGGCCCGCGGCCCAUUAGUUAGUUGGUGGGGUAAUGGCCUACCAAGACUGCGAUGGGUAGCUGGUCUGGGAGGACGAUCAGCCAGACUGGGACUGAGACGCGGCCCAGACGCCUACGGGAGGCAGCAGUGGGGAAUUUUUCGCAAUGGGCGCAAGCCUGACGAAGCAACGCCGCGUGGAGGAUGAAGGCCUUCGGGUUGUAAACUCCUGUCGACCGGGACGAAAGCUAUCAGAUCUAACACAUUUGGUAGUUGACUGUACCGGUGGAGGAAGCCACGGCUAACUCUGUGCCAGCCGCCGCUGUAAAAC
rnacentral:rRNA from 1 species